UGUCCUUUCACUUAAAUUGGCAUGCAUUUUUCUUUUCGUAAUGACCAGAUGAGUCCUUCAGUGACAAUGAUGAAUUAGGAUGAAUCAUGUAACGUGAUACCAGGAAAACUUAUUUACCGGAAGGCCUCUCAGGAUACCUGGAAGACUGUUAUUUACCUCUUUGGGUGUUAAUCCAGGCACAAGCCUUGCCACAGUUUCCCAGUUGAUGGUCCGGUGGAUUCCACUUAAUGGGUUCUCAGCACUAUUUUCAUCAUGAAAGACUGAAGAAUUACCAUUGGUUCAUUUUACAGGAAAGCCAGACCUCCAUGAAAUAGCAGAGUGCGUGAAAUCAUCAGUGUUUGCCCUGACAACGGUAGUAAGUAAAACAAGGACCACCAACUGGGCUUAUAAUAGGUGACAUCAUAAGAUUACUUUCCAUUUUGUAGUUCUCUUGCUAUUUGAAGAUCUCAUUUGAGAAGAAAAGACAGAGAGAUGAAGGGAAAGGAGUCAUACAAGCUGCAAGCUGAUGGCCUGAGUGAAGUGGGAUGAUGGAAUGAACACCUGGUGAUGAAGCUUGUCAGACACCUAUGAUCUAUUCUUCCAGUGACUAUGGGGGGCUGUGGAGAUCACUUAUCUUUACUACGCAAGGGAAUGGCUUUCACUCCCAGUGGCCCCUGGCCACGGAGUCAAGUAAAAGUGCACCUUUAGUAGCUAGCAGCAAGAUGGUGUGUCAGGGCUUAGUGAGUACUGCUGGAGACAUCUGUGGGCCAGACUUCAGGCAGUAGGAGAGUGUGAAAUUUGAUGCUGCUUGUGCGUGCAACCUUGGUUAGCUUCAUAAAGAGACAUGAGAGGAAACAGAGAAUGAAGAUUUUUUGUUUACCUUUUUCAGUGUCUCUCAAAAUGUAAUUCAUGGAAGAAUCACCCAAAGAAAUUGACUUAUCAAAAACUGCAGAUUCCUUAGCACCACCGCCAGCAAUUUCAAUUCGGUGAAAUUGAAGGCUCUGGCUUAGGGAAUCUACCUUUUUAUAAGCACCCCAGGCGAAGCCAAGGCACAUAGUCCACAGACCUCACAUUGCAAACUACUGGUUUAGGCAAAAGUGACAACCUUGUUCUUUAUAUGUUUCAGGUGUAUCUCUUGGAACUGAGAAGCAGUCAAUAGGGCAAGGGGCUACAGCAAAUGUCAAUGUGUAUGAGUUUGUGUGUGUGUGUGUGUGUGUGUGCGCGCAUGUGCACACAUUGCAGGGGACAUGAACAUUUAAGCAUUUGAAAUACGCUUUGUGGACUACUACGGGUAAAAGAAAUUAUUAGACACUGAGAAAUCGUCAGGGGAAAACAGAAAAAGAAGGUAGCAUAGUGUUGAAUUCUGAACUUCAGUAAAAAAUAACAGUAGGAUAUAGUUACAGAGUUUGCUUAGGGGUUGAGUGUCAAACUUCUAUGCAAUAACUCACAGCAGGACGGACUGAAUGAUUUGCUUAGUUGUUAAUAGCAUCUAUAAGCUGGAAUGGCAGACCAUUAUCCUUGCCAUUGCACUGCCAGCCUUACCACGACAAGGGGAUGCAUUGCUAUUCAAGCCACUUACCGCUCUAAACGCUACGAGCGAGCUUAGCAAGUAGAAGAUAUUGAGAAGGAAGUGAUCACAUAACAUUUGACAAAGCCUUUCUGCACUGAUUGCAUCUACAGAUUUUGAUGAGGUGUUUACUCACCUCCUCUCAACCUUUCCUGGAAUAGCUACAUUUAAUAGUGCAAGAUCACAAAGUCUGAGAAGAAAAUCACACGAGAACUUCAGCCUGAAUCAUGUCACUCCAGGUAAUCUGGAUACUAAGAACCAAACAAAAUGGACUGAAUAAAAGCAGCCUGAAGUCCAUCGGGUUUAUUUUGCCUCUGCCUGCUCUCAGAGAGACGUGAAUUUGCAGUGAUCAACUGCAGUUUCAUAUUAACGGAACAGAUUGGAGACAGAAAUCAUCCCCAGGCCUUAAUCCCAGGGAAAUCAGAAAAACAACUUCUUCUAAAGCUAUUUACAGGGUAGCAGAUGUGAAGGUAUGUCUUGGAUUGGACACAGCAUAACAAACAACUUUUUGAAAUAAGGUAUUUCAUUAAACAACUCAACAUGAGCAUGGGAAGUUUUGUGAACUCUUUCUAAAGUGAGAUACUGAGAAUAAUGAGCAUGUUCACCAUUGCCUCAUUCAUUCAUUUCUUCUUUUCCCUUAUUGCAUAGGAUUCCUAUAGUAUCAACUGCACUGGAGGAGUUCUCAGGCUGCUUAGAGGAGAGCCAUGCACAGUGCCCUGCAGUGGGCAUGCUGGUAGCUGUAGUCACAGGGAGACUCCUCGCCAGCUGCAGUCCCUACUUUUCCAUAAGAGCGCACACUGCCCACUCCUUGGGAAAGACCUGCUGAAAUACUCCUAACUAUGUACUGUUUCAUAAAUGGGAAUCAUUUUGCAAAUUAUUUGAAUCUUAACUUUCUUUAUUUUGCUUAUCCGAUUAUUCCUUGGUUUCUUUCCUUCUGUCUGUAAUAUUCCUUCCUUUGGAAUAUAUAAUUGCUAUUUAUCUCUUUGUUUCCACUCCAUAUGUCAUCGUUUCUCAUCUUUUAUGAGAAAAUAGUUAGCUUCUUUGAAAAAGCUCCUCUAUUUUGUCCUAAAAUAAUAAUGUUAUAAAACAUGAAAGACAUGUUACUAUCACUACUAGAGCUUUGAUUGGUUUUGUAAAAGAGAUAGAAAUGAGACCACUGGGAGGAUCGAAAGAACCUUAACAGGUGAGGAGGUACUUGAGCUUUGAAAAAGGAGGUGGCAUCCCAAAAGUCAGAGAUGGACCCCGAAUGGCUUUGCAAGGCAACCUCUUAGCAAUAAUGAAACAACAAAUGAAGAAACUGGUUUAACAAAGGCCAGGCAAACAAGUGUUUUCAUUUACAAAUUCCUAGGAUUAGACCCAUCCAAUGGAGAAUUAAAUGUUGAUCUGGUAGCUUAUCAUUUACACUGUUCUUACUUUAUUCCCCAAUUUCUCUAAAAAAGAGAAAAAAUAAUUUUAUUGUCCAUCCCUUCUCUUCUAUUUCCAUUCUACCUUAAAACUUAUCUCCCAUUUUGUGAGAAUGUGUGAGAACUAGAUAGAGGUAGUACAAAAUUAUUAAUAUAUUAUGACCAAGUACAAAGUGUACAAGACCUCAGACAAAUGAACUUGGUGAUUUUAUUGAGCUAAAGGAAGCAGCAGUCAUGCCAUUUUGUCCCAGUGAAACAGCAGCAUAGGAAGGUAUUUAUCACCCCUUGCUCCUGUAAAGGAAUUGGUCCCACUGAUAUCCUUGGCUUGAUGGUCAUGUUUCUUCCCCAAGGAAAUGCUGAUUUCCAUUCACCUCUUCUCUGCUUCCACUUUUUCUAGCUCAAUUUAGAAUGAACAGAAUUUGCAUUAUGGACUAAAAAGUAUUCUUUGUCAAUAAAGACUUUGGAUUCUUGUCAGGACUUUCCCAGGAUUAGAAUGACAUUUGUCUACAUUCAAAGAUGCCUUAGAAGAAACUCAGCAGGCAACCAACCACCUUUGAUAGGAGCUGCUGUAAUUCACCUGACCAUUGAGAACCUGGAAAUCCUGCAAUCCACAGCCAAACAUCUUGAGCACAACUUCUUGUUUCAGAGGCAAGAAAAUGGUUUCAUGCCUACCAUAGCCUCACUGGAUGCACAAACUGGGGAUCCUUGGUGACACACUUUUAUAAUUUUCCUAAUUGUAUUUGAAGCAGUUUCAAUAGUGACAUAUAAUCACAACUUUCCUACUUGUUGGGACAUCAUAGGCAAGUUUUUCUUUACACUGUAAAACAUAGAGUAAAAUAGCUAAAGCAUUAUUUCUGGACAAAGAAGGGAUUC